AGAACGAACGCUGGCGGCAGGCUUAACACAUGCAAGUCGAACGCGUGUAGCAAUACACGAGUGGCGCACGGGUGAGUAACGCGUGGAUAUCUGCCUUUUGGUUCGGAAUAACCCCGGGAAACUGGGGCUAAUACCGGAUGGUUCCUACGGGAUAAAGAUUUAUCGCCAAAAGAUGAGUCCGCGUCCGAUUAGCUAGUUGGUGGGGUAAUGGCCUACCAAGGCGACGAUCGGUAGCUGGUCUGAGAGGACGAUCAGCCACACUGGGACUGAGACACGACCCAGACUCCUACGGGAGGCAGCAGUGGGGAAUAUUGGACAAUGGGGGCAACCCUGAUCCAGCCAUGCCGCGUGAGUGAUGAAGGCCUUCGGGUUGUAAAGCUCUUUUGGCGGGACGAUGAUGACGGUACCCGCAGAAUAAGCCCCGGCUAACUCGUGCCAGCAGCCGC
rnacentral:rRNA from 1 species